rnacentral:rRNA from 1 species
ACACUCCUACGGGAGGCAGCAGUGGGGAAUAUUGCACAAUGGGCGCAAGCCUGAUGCAGCCAUGCCGCGUGUAUGAAGAAGGCCUUCGGGUUGUAAAGUACUUUCAGCGGGGAGGAAGGCGAUAAGGUUAAUAACCUUGUUGAUUGACGUUACCCGCAGAAGAAGCACCGGCUAACUCCGUGCCAGCAGCCGCGGUAAUACGGAGGGUGCAAGCGUUAAUCGGAAUUACUGGGCGUAAAGCGCACGCAGGCGGUCUGUCAAGUCGGAUGUGAAAUCCCCGGGCUCAACCUGGGAACUGCAUUCGAAACUGGCAGGCUAGAGUCUUGUAGAGGGGGGUAGAAUUCCAGGUGUAGCGGUGAAAUGCGUAGAGAUCUGGAGGAAUACCGGUGGCGAAGGCGGCCCCCUGGACAAAGACUGACGCUCAGGUGCGAAAGCGUGGGGAGCAAACAGGAUUAGAUACCCCAGUAGUCCCAU